GUGGAUUAGAUACCCUGGUAGUCCACGCCCUAAACGAUGUCGACUAGUUGUCGGGAAUUCAUUUUCUCGGUAACGCAGCUAACGCGUGAAGUCGACCGCCUGGGGAGUACGGUCGCAAGAUUAAAACUCAAAGGAAUUGACGGGGACCCGCACAAGCGGUGGAUGAUGUGGAUUAAUUCGAUGCAACGCGAAAAACCUUACCUACCCUUGACAUGCCCGGAAUCCCGCAGAGAUGUGGGAGUGCCCGAAAGGGAGCCGGGACACAGGUGCUGCACGGUCGUCGCCAGCG
rnacentral:rRNA from 1 species